rnacentral:tRNA from 1 species
AUUGUGGUGGUGUAGUGGUUUGAGCACUAGACUAUGACUCUGGAAACAAGGGUUCAAAUCCCUGCUCAGCCAUG